CGUUAGAAGCAGCAGUACUUCAGACUUACCGGGAUGCAUAGAGAAAUAUAUCUUUCUCCUUGAGAGAUUUGUUCCAAGCUAAUAGCACUUACUGCCAGUGAACAUGACUGAAGACAGAGCCAAGAGAAACCUGGAACCAGAACAGAAGCCGUGUGGUGAGCACACUGGGAGCAGCAUGGAGAUGGCUUCCUUCCCCACAGCAGACCUGUCAGCAUGCCUGGAUUUUAUCUUUUUUUGUUGAUACUAUUCUCAGUGAGGUCUAGAAGGCCUGGCUUGCUGUGUGGUAGUUGUUGAAGACAUUUCUGAAGAUCAAGCUCAACUUGGAUGUUCAAGAAACUGAAAAACAUGCUGGAACACAUGAAUCUUUUAUUUCUAAGCAAUCUUCAUACAUCUUCACCUCAAAGCCUGCUUCAUGUGCAAUGGACCUGAGAGAACACUGCUAAGAAGUUUUCAGUGACAGUGUCUAACAACCAAAGUCCUGUCUGCACACAGAUUGCACUCUUAACAGCUCUGCUAAUCCUCAGUAGCUGCCAGGACUCUGGUUACAACAUCAAACCACACAUGAAGAAGUAGCAGUGCCUUAUCACCUCCAGAUCAUCAGGAAGUGCCACCCCCACUGCUACAUGCAUCAGAGAGAAAGGCUGGGGCACAGGCCCCUCUUCAGGCCUGGAAUAGAUAGGGCUGCUUCUUUUAACCUGCUUUUUAACACCAGAACAAGCAAUGCACAACAAUCUCUUACAGCCGGAGGAUGUCAUACGUGUGCAAAGGUGCUCUCAUGGCAUAGUUUCUGCUAAGAGCAGGAAACAGGCCACUCUCACCAGUGCAGCUAUUGAACAUAAACAACUGCAGUAAUGCCUGCACUUGAGUAACUGUUCAUGUUAAAACAGCGCUGCUCACUUACUUACAGUAAAGACCGGAGUAGAUCAGGCCUCUUACAUAUGUAUUUUCAAACAAACUCGUACAGGAGGGAAGAGCUUCCCUAAAUGGAACUCAGCCCAACCCCCACCGCACACAAAAUGGCAGUGCUGCUGCAGCCUGCAGCUCCUGAACCCAUGGAGGUGGUACAGUCAUGGGCAUGCAGCACAGUGCCACACACUGAGAAGCCUUUCUCUUGAUUCUUGUCUGCUGUAUUUUAUGCAGUUUCUUGGAGAUUUGUUGUAAUUUCAUGUCUAACCAACUCCUAAAGCAUUUUCACUUCUGCUCUUGUGAGCAGCAGGGAAGAGAUUUAGUGGAAAAAAAAAAAAAGUUUUAAGGAAGUGACUUUUCUAAUUUCCAUUUUCUUACAGAAUAUUUCUUAGAAAAUGUAUUUGAUACGUAAAUUGGAAGAACUUGAGGCAAAAUUGGUUUUACACGCGGUAAAAAUGUAUUUAGAGGAGGCAUAUCGUAUUUUACUGAACCCUAAAUAUUGCUUUUUUUUUUUUUACACUGUAGAUAUAAAAUAUCCUUUAAAGGAGGUGUGAUAGAUUCUAUUAAGGUCCCAUUGCCAAUUUCGUAUUUAUCAAAAUAAAAACAUACUACGAUUGAGCCAUAAGGAAGAAAGAAUGCAAACUCACAUCCAUCCUGAAGAAGGCAAGAAGAAUCUGGAGAAAUAAGGUCAAGAAGCUCAACUGCACUUUCUGCAAGAGUUAUGGGCAGAAUUUUCCUACAAGCCAUUUCUAAAUAUGGGAGAAAUAAGGUGAUUGGGAACCGC